UAUUGACAACGCGUCAGUUUUAACUUAGAAAUGCUUAAUAAGAUUCAAAUCGUUUUUUCCUUCUUUUUGUUAUUGUUGGUGACUGUAAAAUGCCAAGAGAACGCCAUUGCUGUAGUUGAAUACCAAGUGUUCUAUGAUAAAUUGCUUACUCCUAACGAUGUACUUAUAAGAAACACAGACAGAUACGUGGAAAUAAUACAAGAAGCAUCUGCAGAUAACAAACUUAUGGCAAUAAUUUUUCCUGAAGGAACCCUUGACAAUAUACAGGAAAUGAAAGAUAAGAAAUCUUAUUCGACCAAAAUAGGA